CACCUCUGAACUUUAUCUUCACAUUAUUGCAACCACCCACAGGAACAACAGGUUAAACAACGAAGACUGAUUUUGAUGUGUGAAGUUGCCUGUGGUGUCUCAAGGUUAAUGCACUGUCUUCAUCCCUAGACAAAGAAUAAGAAAAGACAAACCCCACAAGAAUGUCAUCCACACUGACAUC
rnacentral:lncRNA from 1 species